GCCCCUAUCAUCUAGUGGAUCAAGACAUCUCUCUUUCAAGGAGGCAAUGGGGAUUCAACUUCCCCUAUGGGUA
rfam:Picea glauca, whole genome shotgun sequence.